UGAUUCAGUCGCAUAUGAUCUCUCCAUAGAGUGAGGCUCUGAACUCAGAAUAUAAGAAUGAAUGAUCUGCUGUGCAUCGGUGCAGUCUAAGGCCUUGUCCGCACUGGUCAGGAUACUCCGAAAGAUGUGGAACAACAGGACAUCCGAGACGGCUGGAUUCUGCUCAAACCAAACAAGGAGAUGACAAUGGAGAACGGAUGUCCAUCUUGGGAGAAGGCAGGAAGGAUGGGUGUCUUGCAUUCAGCCGAAAGAUCCCAAAUUGCAAAGGAGGCGCAUUCCCAGCAAGUGAGACAUGAGCGACAGGAAGGAGGAUUCAAUGAGGCACAAAGCUAGAAAGGAAGAAUUCAAAAACAUAGUCUAGUCUCACUCCCACUUUGUCUGCAGAUGCAACAGACACAAAGACCAGCAACAUGUUGGUCUUUUAUGUAUGCAUAGACAGUUGAGUCUCCAUAUCCACGGAUUCAACCAUCCAUGGCUUAAAAAUAUAGUUUUUAAAAUU